rnacentral:rRNA from 1 species
GGUUGAUCCUGCCAGUAGUCAUAUGCUUGUCUCAAAGAUUAAGCCAUGCAUGUCUAAGAAUAAGCCCUUGAACGGUGAAUCUGCGAAUGGCUCAUUAAAUCAGUUAUUGUUUAUUUGAUGGUACCUUACUACUUGGAUAACCGUAGUAAUUCUAGAGCUAAUACAUGCGUCAAGCCCCGACUUUUAUUGGAAGGGGUGCAUUUAUUAGAUUCAAACCAUCGGAGGGGUGCCUUCACGGGUGCCUUUUUCCUUUGAUGGUGAGUCAUAAUAACUUUGCGAAUCGAAUGGCUUUAUGCUGUCGAUGCUUCAUUCAAAUUUCUGCCCUAUCAGCUUUCGAUGGUAGGAUCUUGGCCUACCAUGGCUAUAACGGGUAACGGGGAAUUAGGGUUCGAUUCCGGAGAGGGAGCUUGAGAAACGGCUACCACAUCCAAGGAUGGCAGCAGGCGCGCAAAUUACCCAAUCCCGACACGGGGAGGUAGUGACGAUAAAUAACGAUGCUGGAUUAUUUUUAAUCCGGCAAUUGGAAUGAGAGUGAUUUAAAUCUCCACUCGAGGAACCAUUGGAGGGCAAGUAUGGUGCCAGCAGCCGCGGUAAUUCCAGCUCCAAUAGCGUAUAUUAAAGUUGUUGCAGUUAAAAAGCUCUAGUCUGAAUCUUGGUUGGAGUUUAGCGUCCGUGGCCCUUAACCGGGUUGCGAGCAUGCGAUAACUCUGGCCGAACAAAAGAUUUAAUUUUUUGUACUUCGGAGACUUGGGUGAUGGUGCCCUUCAUUGGGUGUUGUUGCCAAUUUAACAAGCUUCCGAUAGUUUACUUUGAGAAAAAUAGAGUGUUCAAAGCAGGCGUUUAUUUUGCCUUGAAUACAUUAGCAUGGGAUAAUGGAAUAGGACAUUGGUUCUAUUUUGUUGGUUUACGGACCGAUGUAAUGAUUAAUAGGAACAGUUGGGGACAUUGCUAUUACACGGCUAGAGGUGAAAUUCUUGGAUUCGUGGUAGAGCAACUAGUGCGAAAGCAUUUGUCAAAGAUGUUUUCAUUGAUCAAGAACGAAAGUUAGGGGAGCAAAGACGAUCAGAUACCGUCGUAGUCUUAACUAUAAACGAUGCCGACUAGGGAUCGGUGGGUGUUACUUUGUAUGACUCCAUCGGCACCUCAUGGGAAACCAAAGUCUUUGGGUUCCGGGGGGAGUAUGGUCGCAAGGCUGAAACUUAAAGGAAUUGACGGAAGGGCACCACCAGGAGUGGAGCCUGCGGCUUAAUU